AAGAAAGCGUAAUAGCUCACGUGGUCGAGUCGGCCUGCGCGGAAGAUGUAACGGGGCUAAACCAUGCACCGAAGCUGCGGCAGCGACGCUUAUGCGUUGUUGGGUAGGGGAGCGUUCUGUAAGCCUGUGAAGGUGUGUCGUGAGGCAUGCUGGAGGUAUCAGAAGUGCGAAUGCUGACAUAAGUAACGAUAAAGCGGGUGAAAAGCCCGCUCGCCGGAAGACCAAGGGUUCCUGUCCAACGUUAAUCGGGGCAGGGUGAGUCGACCCCUAAGGCGAGGCCGAAAGGCGUAGUCGAUGGGAAACGGGUUAAUAUUCCCGUACUUGGUGUUACUGCGAAGGGGGGACGGAGAAGGCUAUGUUGGCCGGGCGACGGUUGUCCCGGUUUAAGCGUGUAGGUGUGUGUUCCAGGUAAAUCCGGUUCACUUUAACACUGAGGCGUGAUGACGAGGCACUACGGUGCUGAAGUAACAAAUGCCCUGCUUCCAGGAAAAGCCUCUAAGCAUCAGGUAACAUCAAAUCGUACCCCAAACCGACACAGGUGGUCAGGUAGAGAAUACCAAGGCGCUUGAGAGAACUCGGGUGAAGGAACUAGGCAAAAUGGUGCCGUAACUUCGGGAGAAGGCACGCUGACACGUAGGUGAAGUGAUUUACUCACGGAGCUGAAGUCAGUCGAAGAUACCAGCUGGCUGCAACUGUUUAUUAAAAACACAGCACUGUGCAAACACGAAAGUGGACGUAUACGGUGUGACGCCUGCCCGGUGCCGGAAGGUUAAUUGAUGGGGUCAGCGCAAGCGAAGCUCCUGAUCGAAGCCCCGGUAAACGGCGGCCGUAACUAUAACGGUCCUAAGGUAGCGAAAUUCCUUGUCGGGUAAGUUCCGACCUGCACGAAUGGCGUAAUGAUGGCCAGGCUGUCUCCACCCGAGACUCAGUGAAAUUGAACUCGCUGUGAAGAUGCAGUGUACCCGCGGCAAGACGGAAAGACCCCGUGAACCUUUACUAUAGCUUGACACUGAACAUUGAGCCUUGAUGUGUAGGAUAGGUGGGAGGCUUUGAAGUGUGGACGCCAGUCUGCAUGGAGCCGACCUUGAAAUACCACCCUUUAAUGUUUGAUGUUCUAACGUGGACCCGUUACCCGGGUUGCGGACAGUGUCUGGUGGGUAGUUUGACUGGGGCGGUCUCCUCCUAAAGAGUAACGGAGGAGCACGAAGGUUGGCUAAUCCUGGUCGGACAUCAGGAGGUUAGUGCAAUGGCAUAAGCCAGCUUGACUGCGAGCGUGACGGCGCGAGCAGGUGCGAAAGCAGGUCAUAGUGAUCCGGUGGUUCUGAAUGGAAGGGCCAUCGCUCAACGGAUAAAAGGUACUCCGGGGAUAACAGGCUGAUACCGCCCAAGAGUUCAUAUCGACGGCGGUGUUUGGCACCUCGAUGUCGGCUCAUCACAUCCUGGGGCUGAAGUAGGUCCCAAGGGUAUGGCUGUUCGCCAUUUAAAGUGGUACGCGAGCUGGGUUUAGAACGUCGUGAGACAGUUCGGUCCCUAUCUGCCGUGGGCGCUGGAGAACUGAGGGGGGCUGCUCCUAGUACGAGAGGACCGGAGUGGACGCAUCACUGGUGUUCGGGUUGUCAUGCCAAUGGCACUGCCCGGUAGCUAAAUGCGGAAGAGAUAAGUGCUGAAAGCAUCUAAGCACGAAACUUGCCCCGAGAUGAGUUCUCCCUGAGACUUUAGGUCUCCUGAAGGAACGUUGAAGACGACGACGUUGAUAGGCCGGGUGUGUAAGCGCAGCGAUGCGUUGAGCUAACCGGUACUAAUGAACCGUGAGGCUUAACCUUACAACGCCGAAG
rnacentral:rRNA from 1 species